rnacentral:rRNA from 1 species
UCGGGAAUUUUGGGCAAUGGGCGAAAGCCUGACCCAGCAACGCCGCGUGAAGGAUGAAGUAUUUCGGUAUGUAAACUUCGAAAGAAUAGGAAGAAUAAAUGACGGUACUAUUUAUAAGGUCCGGCUAACUACGUGCCAGCAGCCGCGGUAAUACGUAGGGACCAAGCGUUGUUCGGAUUUACUGGGCGUAAAGGGCGCGUAGGCGGCAAUUCAAGUCAUCUGUGAAAUCUCCGGGCUUAACUCGGAACGGUCAGAUGAUACUGCUUUGCUAGAGUGCAGAAGGGGCAAUCGGAAUUCUUGGUGUAGCGGUGAAAUGCGUAGAUAUCAAGAGGAACACCUGAGGUGAAGACGGGUUGCUGGGCUGACACUGACGCUGAGGCGCGAAAGCCAGGGGAGCAAACGGGGAUUAGAUACCCNCGUAGUCCCUGAGCGGGCUGGCAAGGCGCAU